rnacentral:rRNA from 1 species
GAUGAACGCUGGCGGCGUGCCUAAUACAUGCAAGUCGAGCGAACAGAUGAGGAGCUUGCUCCUCUGACGUUAGCGGCGGACGGGUGAGUAACACGUGUAUAACCUACCUAUAAGACUGGGAUAACUUCGGGAAACCGGAGCUAAUACCGGAUAAUAUAUUGAACCGCAUGGUUCAAUAGUGAAAGACGGUUUUGCUGUCACUUAUAGAUUGAUCCGCGCCGCAUUAGCUAGUUGGUAAGGUAACGGCUUACCAAGGCAACGAUGCGUAGCCGACCUGAGAGGGUGAUCGGCCACACUGGAACUGAGACACGGUCCAGACUCCGACGGGAGGCAGCAGUAGGGAAUCUUACGCAAUGGGCGAAAGCCUGACGGAGCAACGCCGCGUGAGUGAUGAAGGUCUUCGGAUCGUAAAACUCUGUUAUUAGGGAAGAACAAAUGUGUAAGUAACUAUGCACGUCUUGACGGUACCUAAUCAGAAAGCCACGGCUAACUACGUG